GCUGGCGGCGUGCCUAACACUUGCAAGUCGAGCGGUAACAUGUUGUUCACCUUGGUCCUAAUCAGAAAUGAUUGGUGCUGAAGUGAACAAUGAUGACGAGCGGCGGACGGCUGAGUAACGCGUGGGAACAUGCCCCAAAGUGAGGAAUAAGCUCCAGAAAUGGAGUCUAAUGCCGCAUAUGAUCUUCGGAUUAAAGGAUUUAUCCGCUUUGGGAGUGGCCUGCGUACGAUUAGAUAGUUGGUGAGGUAAUGGCUUACCAAGUCUACGAUCGUUAGCUGGUCUGAGAGGAUGACCAGCCAGACUGGAACUGAGACACGGUCCAGACUCCUACGGGAGGCAGCAGUGAGGAAUCUUCCACAAUGGGCGAAAGCCUGAUGGAGCAACGCCGCGUGCAGGAUGAAGGCCCUCGGGUCGUAAACUGCUUUUAUAAGUGAAGAAUAUGACGGUAACUUAUGAAUAAGCACCGGCUAACUACGUGCCAGCAGCCGCGGUCAUACGUAGGGUGCAAGCAUUAUCCGGAGUGACUGGGCGUAAAGAGUUGCGUAGGUGGACAAGUAAGCGAAUAGUGAAAUCCGACGGCUCAACCGUACGGACUAUUACUCGA
rnacentral:rRNA from 1 species